rnacentral:misc_RNA from 1 species
AAGUCGUAACAAGGUUUCCGUAGGUGAACCUGCGGAAGGAUCAUUACCAUUGGUGAAUCGUAGCACCUUAAAUUAGCGACCAAAUCAUGUGCACCAUCCUGCUUGUUGGUGGGGUCAUAGAUGUGGAGCCUUACGGCGAAGCGUCCAUGUAACCACCGACACUAUAUUAACCUAUUAUUACUAUUAAAUGAUCAGUACCAAGGGACUUGUCCCAAGGGAAGUAAACAACUUUUAGCAACGGAUCUCUAGGCUCUC